GGAAGUGGAGCAGUGUACGUAAAGCUCUUGAACCCAUCUCUUCACACCUCUAUCUGUUCACCAACAAUCCAAGUGGACUCUCUCCUCUAAUGUCACUGUUUUUCCCAAGGACACAAACUGGGAAAGCCUACGAGUGGCUUCGUCUCCCCAAUCCUUGACAUAUCUGUUGCUGGUAAAGACGAGGUAGGAAGGGCAUUGAAGAAAUAUGGGGAUCUUUGAUAGGACAGAGACAGAAGACCUGAUUUCACUUGAGCUCCGAAGCUGAAACUGGGAGUCCUCAUGAGUCCAGGGCUCCUCCAUGUUCUCGCCACACACAAAACCCGUCUGCCAGCAGUCUGCAGUAGCAGCUCCUGAGCCAUGUAAAUCCUACAUAGAAGACUUUCUUAGAAAACAAAGGUAAAUAGAAAGUUCUAGUGUGGAGAAGUAGAAAGGUGACUGGCAGAAGGUGGGUGGGGUCAAGGGAAGAUAAUAGGGGUGGGGCCAAAGUACAUCAUCUGUUGGUAGGGAAACGUCUUCAAGAAAUUCCUUAUUUUGUACAAUGAAUACAAGCUAACAAAGGGGGUGGUGGUGGUGGUGGUGGUCUCACACUCGAGAGGCAGAGGUAGGUGGAUUUCUGAGUUUGAGGCCAGCUUGGUCUACAGUGUGAGUUCCAGGACAGCCAGGUCAACACAGAGAAGCCUUGUCUCAAAAAACCCAAAAGAUUAAAACAAAACAAAACAAAAACAACAAAACAGAAGGAAAGAAAGAAAAGAAAAGAAAGGAAAACAGAGGUUACCCAUGGAAAAGACCGGGCUCCAAGCUCAGAGGGCACUGUCUGUGCACAUAGAAUUGCGAAUGCUGUUCAAUACUCCUUGGAUCGGCUUCCUUUUUAGCCUGUGUGGACUGCAGGUCCCAUUGUGCCCAGGUGUCUGGUGCGGAGAAAGAUCAGUGUGAGGCAAGAAGGGUACCAUUCACAUUACCCAUUUCAGGAAACGCAGACGUAGUCAGGUCAAGUAACUUCCCAAAAAGCACGCCGGAAGUGGGUGAACUACAGGUCACUUCUAACUUGUGUCUGUCAGGUCAAGACAGAGAAAUGCUGAAAGGUUCAUCAGCGACCCACACGAUCUACCCAAGUGGGCCUGGCCAUCUCUGGGCAAAUGCUCCCUGUCACGUCCCACAGCUAGAUCAGUGUGGCCAAAGGGUGUCACGCUUUUGGUCCCACGCCACAGCGUCUGACACCCUCAUCCCUCCUGCCCCGGGUUUACAAACCCGAGCUCCGAGGCGCACAGGGAAACCUCAGUUGAAGCUCCUUGCAGUUAACACAGACUUCCGGUUGCAACAGGUUUCCUUCCCGUAGCUGUGGUUUUUCUCGUCCGGCUCCUGACCCCUUUCUUCCUUUGCUUUACGCUAAAAGCUUUAGUGGGAAAAGGCAAAAUUGAGCUAAAGGAAUCGAAAAAAACGUUAGCCUCGGCUGGCGAGAAAGUUCCUUAAUAGUGGAUGCAGGAGAAAGUAAGUCACUGAAUAACCAAUUUGUCCUGAAUUAUUCAGAUAAUCUUUUAUCUCAUUUUCUUUCUGGAAGCUUACACACAGAACAAAAGCAUGCCCUGGGCUAAACGCAGAGACAAAGGUACAGUGAAGAGCUGUGACCUUCUCAGAGUCCUGCUCCACCUGCUAAGCUCAGUGCCCUCCUGGCUUUGAGACCUGUGGAGAAUGCCAUCUACCGAGGGAGGCUUUCUCAGUGAACACAGGAAGUCUUGUAGCCUAGGAUAGCCCUCAGUCCAGGCAAACUGAAUUGUUGACCAUCCUGGGACGUUCAGGGGUUCUGUGGGAUGGGCAUGCCAGCCUUUGGGUUCUUUUCCUUACCUGGCUUUUGUUUGUUUGUUUGUUUGUUUGCUGUAUGUUUUUGAGACUGUUUUGUUUUGUAGCCCAAGCUAGCCUCAAACUCGCAGACCUCCUGCCUCAGCCACUUGAGUGCUAGGCGUCGUCUGCUCUGCCUCAUUUCAUCUUAGCAGAAGUAGAGAAAUCCAGAACCCUGGUGGGCCUGAUGCCCCCAUGCAGAUACAAAGGGAAGAUAUGGCGUCCAGAAAGUGGGGUGUCUAAAUGUACCCAUUAAAAUGUUCUCCCAGUGUUCUGACGUAUAUAUGUGCACUAAUGUAUAUUUAAUCACACAAGUUCAAUCUGACUACUGCAGAAUUUUUUAAAGAUAAGAAUAACAAGAAGGAAGUCAUCGUACUCAUAAUCUUACAAUCCCCCUGAACCACAUUGAGUCUUCAAGAUUUUAAUAUAAUGUUACGCCUAAGAGCUAUCUAUGCUAGUCUUUUCCAGGAAAAAUAUUUAAUAGAAUGAGGCUUUGAAGCUAUCUUUCACUUAACAGUAUGAGAAUGAAUCCAUGUCAACAAGCAUGCUCUUAUGACGUCAUUUCAAUGAGCACCACCGAAUAUUCCACAUCACCCUAAUAACCCAGUUUCCAAGACCUACAUCGAACAGUGCAUUUCUGCUGCUUUUAAAAACCUUCCCAGUAUUAUAGACAGUGCUGAAGGACUGGUGACAUAUUUAGCAUGAUGGCCAAACUCUUUGCUUAGCAUGACACUUGGAUUCAAGCUCAGUGAACAGACAGGGAUGCUUCAGGGAUGUGCGGCUGAGUCAGCUUCCAGAAGCAUCUCACAGAGCUCUGAGCAAAGCCACGUCUUACUCUUUCUGCUGUCACCAGGCUCCAGACCCAGCCAAAGUCUUAUGAUUGGGGUGUGUCUCAUGUGCUCACUGUGGGUGUGAGGGAAGCCGGGUGAUGAGGACCGAGGGCUUCUUAUUUCAGCAAGGCAGAUAGCUAGUGAAGUGUAAGAAUGGGGACACCAUUCGAAACAUUUCUAGCCGUGUCACCUUAGAACUCUGACGUGGGGAGUCGGAGGAUACAAUAAGGAAGAGAAAGACUCGGAGCCGCAAAACUCCAGCUUUCUGGGCUCCGUUCCAGAAUCAUUAUGGGGGUUGGGAUGGGUGGAUGAGCUGAUGCAGACGGGGUGGUGUUGAUUGAGAGUUUGUAAAUGUUGGGGCUGAGGGUGCACAGACACACACUGGUCUAACGACCCUUUCUCUGGUAGACACUAAAAGUUUUCUUAACAAAAGCAGUGUUUAAAAGGCAGCAAAAGUCCUGGCAGGAAUGUAGACUAGAACACAAUUUCUGGGCCUUAAGUAGUAAGCUUUCUCUAUGGAUCCUAUCCCAGACAACCGAAGACCUCUGGCUAGCAGUUGUUUUUCAUUUGCAACCAUUGUUUUUUCCAACAUUCCCCAAGGAAGAAAAGAAUUUUGUUUUGUUUUGUUGUUGUUGUUGAUUUGUUUUUUGUUUUCACUUAAAGUGGAUCAGAAUAAGGCACGGCUACUGCACUCAAGACCUUCAUUAUCUCCAGAAACUGUUCCACAGCCACAUUUAGUGGCUCAACAGAUAGGCUGCUACUGUGAUUGGCUUUUGAGGGUUACCAACAAAUAGAACCCAUGCAACUCCAGAUAAAUAGCAAAUAUUUAUUUUAAUAUGUGUGUCUAUGCAACAUGAAGGACUGACUCAAGUUAAAACAUAUUCUAGAUCUGAAAUUUAACAGUAAGUGGGCAUCCACAUUUUAUCUGGUUCCUUUACUCCGGUGGCUUUUAAAAUUUAGGCGAUGCCACCUGCCUCACCCUAAUUUACCUCAUGCUGCACCUCAAUGUACCCAGAGUGACUGGACUAGAGUCAUGUAGUCAUGAGUCUGGGAAUUUCAUGACUGUCUUUCUUCGUCUUCCUGGAAAGGCGUUCCACACAGCUGGAUGGCUUUGAGGUCUGGGUCCUGCCUAGCUCCUAGUCAUUGAGGGGAAGGAGAGAAGCAUCUGUUUGUCACCAAGAAAAUCUGUUCUCUAAGAUGAGACACCCAACACAUCCACCCAACCAAUGGAACUGAGAUUCAAACUCUUUAACUACACCCAGCAUUUUUGCUGCUACAUAGUCUGCAGGAACAAAUCGGUGUAGACUGUGGUCUUCAAAGGAAGCACAGCUGUCCUGUGCUGGAGAGCAGGAGACAGCUUGUGUCCAACUUAACUCUGGCAACCCUGUCUCCACCUGUCACUGUCGGCUCCAGAUUAUCAAGGCUAAGAUGAUGGAGUUUCCGAAGGUAGAAAGUCGUCUGCUUUCCCUGCCAAUCACUUGACAACUCAUUAGCAUCCUGACUGGAAGUGAGCCAGAGGAAGGAAAUGAUAAACCACCAUGAGUCAACAUGUUUCUUGCCAGAAGUUCUCGGAAAGGGAGCAAGAGACGUGUGAGGGAGAGAAAUCCGCAGAGAAAGUUUUAGGGGUCGUGGGGAUUUCUCCUUGCCCUCCAAAUCAGAAAUAAACAAGGCCUAUCUCUUAAGGUUGACUUCUCCAGAUAGAAUGUUCUAGAAAGACGCUCAAUUCUGUUGCCCACAACCAUAAGAAAGGUCCACCCUUCGUUCUUUCUAUUCUGCUGUGAGGUUAAACAAAGGUCAGAGUGGUAAAGGGAUGGGAGGAGGCAGUGACGUUUUGAGCUGGGUGUAAGAUCCAGGUCGGGGAGAAGGAAGAUAGAAUUCCUCGGGAGACAGCCACAUGGUUCACAAAGUCACUGUCAACAGGCUGAGUAACAGAUUCAAACUUUGUGAUUGUGGAAUUGGAAAGUUGAAGAUCUGGAUCCAAGUCAUCUUGAGCUAACUUUGGUCCUUUCCGUGACUAGCAGUAUUCCUUCAUCUGACCUGACAUCCUUUGACCAGCAGGUUAAACUUUUAACAUGUGUUCCUGGCAGACGACUGGUAUCCACAAAUUCAAUAGCCGAGAAUGGCAGCAUUACGUGUCUGAAACCUAAGACAGGCUUCCCCUACUUUGCCUGGGAUUCCCACCAGUGAGAUUGAAAAGAAGUACUUGGCAUUAGCAAAGGCACUUGGAUAAUUUAAACAAACACACUCUUGACGGGAGGAUCAGAACUGAGUUCCCCACCCUGUCUCUUUGCUUACUGGGAACUUUCCUGCCAGCAUUUCAGAAGAGUCGAGAACAGGCCUACGUGAAUGCUCGCAUGUCCAUGCAAUCCUGUCCGUCUGGGCUCUCUGGCAGUCCUUACAUUCUUCAUCUUUUGACGUGAGUUUGCUUUGAUUUAGAAUACUUUCUGUGUGGCCUAUAUUUCCUUAAAGAAUUUAUGGGGCGGCCAAGUCAGUCAUUUACAGCCCCUUUCCUGUGCCCCAUGUAGUAUCAUGGCAUUUCCCAAUACCUUCUUUCCCCCAGCACCCCAUAAAAACAAUCAACCUUUUCUUACA